GGGGCUGUGGCUCAGUGGUACAGCAUCUGUCUUGGGAUCAUGAGAUCUCAGGUUCAGUUCUUGGUAUCUCUA
rnacentral:tRNA from 1 species